rnacentral:rRNA from 1 species
UUAGAGUUUGAUCAUGGCUCAGAUUGAACGCUGGCGGCAUGCCUUAUAUAUGCAAGUCGAACGGCAGCACGGGGGCAACCCUGGUGGCGAGUGGCGAACGGGUGAGUAAUACAUCGGAACGUGUCCUGUUGUGGGGGAUAACUAGUCGAAAGAUUAGCUUAUACCGCAUGAUCUGGAGACAGCAAAGCAGGGGACCCGGAGACGGGCCUUGCGCGAUUGGAGCGGCCGAUGUCCGAUUAGCUUGUUGGCGGGGUAAAGAGCUACCAAGGCGACGAUCGGUAGCUGGUCUGAGAGGAUGAUCAGCCACACUGGGACUGAGACACGGCCCAGACUCCUACGGGAGGCAGCAGUGGGGAAUUUUGGACAAUGGGGGCAACCCUGAUCCAGCCAUGCCGCGUGAGUGAAGAAGGCCUUCGGGUUGUAAAGCUCUUUCGGUGGGAACGAAACGGUGGACGCUAAUACCGUCCUCUACUGACGGUACUCACAGAAGAAGCACCGGCUAACUACGUGCCAGCAGCCGCGGUAAUACGUAGGGUGCGAGCGUUAAUCGGAAUUACUGGGCGUAAAGCGUGCGCAGGCGGCGCGUUAAGACAGGUGUGAAAGCCCCGAGCUUAACUUGGGAAUUGCGCUUGUGACUGGCGUGCUGGAGUGUGGCAGAGGGAGGUGGAAUUCCACGUGUAGCAGUGAAAUGCGUAGAGAUGUGGAGGAACACCGAUGGCGAAGGCAGCCUCCUGGGCCAGCACUGACGCUCAUGCACGAAAGCGUGGGGGAGCAAACAGGAUUAGAUACCCUGGUAGUCCACGCCCUAAACGAUGUCAACUGGUUGUUGGUGGGGUUAAACCCAUUAGUAACGAAGCUUAC